AUGGCGUUGGCCGGCGGAGAUGCUCGCGGCGAGCUCGUCUGCGUGACCGGCGGCAGCGGCUUCAUCGGCUCCUGGCUCGUCCGCCUCCUCCUCGGCCGCGGCUACACCGUCCACGCCACCGUCCAGAACCUCCAGGACGAGGCCGAGACGAAGCACCUGCAGGCUCUGGAUGGCGCGGACACGCGGCUCCGGCUGUUCCAGAUGGACCUCCUCGACCCCGCCUCCGUCCGGCCGGCGGUCGAGGGCGUCCACGGCGUCUUCCACCUGGCCUCCCCCGUGAUACUGCAGCCCGCACAAGACCCCGAGAACGAGCUGCUGCUGCCGGCGAUCAACGGCGCGCUCAACGUCCUCCGCGCGGCGAAAGACAGCGGGGUCAAGCGUGUCGUGAUGGUGUCUUCGCAGACGGCCAUGUGUCCGACUGCCGCCGACUGGCCUGCCGGCAAGGUCAUAGACGACGACUGCUGGGCCGACGUUGAGAUCCUCAAGAAACUUGAGCUUUGGUACAACGUCUCCAAAACGCUGGCCGAGAAGGCGGCGUGGGACUUCGCCGGAGAGGAAGGAUUGCAGCUGGUUGUGCUGAAUCCGGGGUUGGUGUUGGGCCCGACGUUGACCCCGGCACCUACUGGUAGCCUCCGUCUGCUGAUGCUGCUUCUGGGAGGUCGGUCGAUUACAAGUUCAACAUACAGAGUCUUGCAGCUCCGUGGCCAGAAGCUUGACAUGGAACCCUUCUUCGUCGGCUGCGUCGACGUCAGAGAUGUGGCACAAUCUCUGGUGGUGCUCUAUGAGAACCCGUCGGCGCAGGGACGCCACCUGUGCAUGGAGUCAGCCGUACGCCUCGUCGAUUUCCACGAUGAACUUGCUAAUCUUUACCCCGAAUUUCCGGUUCACAGGAUCCAGGAGGACAAGCAGGGCUGGGUGGUGAGAUCAAAGGCUCCGUCCAAGAAACUGAUCGAUCUGGGCGUUCGUUUCACCCCAUUCGACAAAACUGUCAGGGACACGGUGGAUUGCUUGAGGAACAAAGGAGAAAUCUAG
rnacentral:rRNA from 1 species